ACGUAAGGUUGUGAGUCAGUUAUACUUCAGUUAAAAAAUAAUCUAGUGCUUGAGUUACACAUAAACAGCAGCAUGUCAUUUUCUCAACAGAUGGGCCAAAGCUGUAACAGUAACAAGAGUCUGAUGAGAAUUUGGGGGAUUUUCACAUGCACCACAGGUGGGACUGCAAACUGGUACGUGUGGUCUGGAAACGAGCCUGGUAAUCCUGAAGAUGAGCGCCUCCGUGACACGGCAGUUCGUGUGCGUGUGUGUGUGUGUGUGUGUGAACAGCUCAGGCCUCAGCGGCAGAUAGGACAGACACUUAAACUGUUGUGCGUCCAUACACACGUUGCUGCUCAGCACCAAAGAGGGACAGCCUGCAGAAACGAGGAAGCACAGGAGCCGGCUGCGACCUCGGUUGGCUGGGGAAAGCACGCACGGCCGACGAGGCCGCUCGGGAGCCCGAGGGCCUGCAGACCCGGCUCCGUGUCGGGUCCGUGUGCGGCCGGGUCGUGACAAACACAGGUGGGGAGCUAGAGCCCACCUCCAGAUGGGGCGGGGGUCCCAGGGCCACCUGUGAGGAGGGAAGAUGGUGCCGGCGAGGUUCCCGUGCGAAGAGGGGCUGACGGCGUGCCAGGAUCCCCGUGCUCCUACCUCUCGGGACAGCAGGUGCAGACACGCGCUGGGCUAGAGCCCGGUCUGUCUCUCUGGGUCUCUCUGUGUGUCUUUCCCUGUCUCUGUCUGUCUCUGCCUCUCUGUCUCUGUCUGUCUCUCUCUCCGUGUCUCUGUCUCUGCCUCUCUGUCUCUCUCUCUGUCUCUCUGUGUCUGUCUCUCUCUCUGUCUCUCUGUCUCUGUCUGUCUCUCCGUGUCUCUGUCUGUCUGUCUCAACCCUCCACUGUCCCUCCCACCAUUAACAGUCACAAGACUUCGCGUUGUUCCGUGAUGCACUCUCCCCCUUUCCUGUCUGUCUCCGUCCACCGGCCGUCUGAGCCGCAGCACGGCACCCGGGAAGACUCACGACAGCCUCUCCAGCUGGCGCGCCACCACGGGGGGACACUGCUCGCCCCUCUCCAGGGAGCCACGUCUCAGCAUCAGGGUCUUCAGAUGGAUGUUCCUCUUGAGAUUCUUGGUGAAGUCAGCCCUGUUGGUGGGGUCGAACGGGCAACCUUCCAGCCUGCGGGAGUCACAGCAACAGCAGCCCUGAGCUCCCGGGGUGGGGCGUGGUGCCCCCAGCCACCCAACCUCGCGUCCUCCUCGGCCCUCAUCCCUCCCCGAGAGCUGCGGGAGGGGGCUUCCACCCUCCCCGGGUGAACCCCCAUCCGUUCAGCAUCUGAACUGCACGUCAGCAACAGAAAACAAGCUUCCCUGCUGGCUCAGCUGGUAAAGAAUCCACCGCAGUGCGGGAGACUCCGGCUCAAUUCCUGGGUUGGGAAGAUCCGCUGGAGAAGGGAAAGGCUGUCCACCCCAGGGCUCUGGCCUGGAGAAUCCCACGGACUGCGUAGUCCACGGGGUCACAGAGGAUCAGACACGACCGAGCGACUUUCCCUCGCACGGUAGAAAGCAGCACACACGCGGGGCCGUGACGCACUGGCGUGGGUAACCGUGGGGCUCUAGUCCCGAGACAGGGACUCCAGCCGCCCCUGAGCACACCUCCUUUCCACGCUUAUCCGCCACACCACCUUCAGGAUGAAGACCCAUCGGACAGAGUGGGGGCUGCGGGCGGGGGGCGGGGUGGAGGAAACGACGGUUAAAGCGCAACCCCCCAGUUACAAGGCGAGUGAACUCGGGAGACCUCUGGUCCAGGGUGCUGACGGUGCUUAACUCGACAGCCGUGUGCACAGACGUGGCUGACAGAGCUGGUCUCAGGGGUUCAAACGGCGGCUUGUGAGCCGGCCAAGGGGUGAAUCAGCCUGACGGUGGCAAGCGGCUCACAGUGUGUGCAGGUAUGAGGCCAUCAUCUUAAAAAAGAAGCUGAGUGAACGGUCACAGAUAGGAAUGCAAUGCUGCCAUUUACAGAGAUGGACCCAGGGAUGAUCAUACUGCGCGAAGUGAGUCAGACACAGACAUUCUGGUAUCACUUAUACGUGGACUCUGAAGCAUAACAUGAAGGAAUUUACUUACAGAAGAGAAAAGACUCACAAACAGAGGCAAAAAACUCCCAGUUACCAAAGGGGAAAGCGGUGGGGAGAGGCAGAGACCACGAGUCCGGGAUGAGCAGGCGUGUGUUCAGGAGAAAGUGUCCAGAAUAGAUCGCGUUGCUGUACAGCGGAAGCAAAGACGACGUUGUCAAGCAACUAUACUCCAACUGAACAGCAGAGCAGAUGAAGCAAUAAGGGUUUCCUCUAAAGCACAGGGGACUGUAGGGCUUCCCAGGCUAAAGACCCGCCUGCCAACGCAGGAGACGCCAGUUCCAUCCCUGGGUCGGGAAGAUCCCCUGGAGGAGGGCCCGGCAACCCGCUCCAGUGUUCUUGCCUGGAGAAUCCCCCAGACAGAGGAGCCUGGUGGGCUACGGUCCAGGGGGUUGCACAGAGUGGGACAGGACUGAAGUGACUUGGCACAGCACAGCAUAGCCCAGGAAGCUAUCUUCAAUAUCUCACAAUAACCUAUAAUGGAAAAGAAUCUGAAAAAGAAACCCUAUCUGCAGGACGGAAUCACGUUCCUGUACACCUGACACUAACACGGUACUGUAAAUCGAUGACACUUUGAUAAAAGAAGCUGGAACGAGGAGCAGCUGCACCGCAGCGAGACGUCAGCCAGGCUGAGCCUGUGGCCCGCGCCCUCCCUGUGGCUCGGCCCCUGGGCCCCGGCCCUUCUCCCCCCGCCGCGCCUCCGGCCUCACCUGAGACACUGCAGGAAGCACCGCGGGUGCCUCAGGGUGUUGCAGAGAGCAUCCAUCACUCGGGGGCCCAUUUCCGAGUCUCGGAUUUCCAAGUGCCUCAGGUACUGGUUCUUCACCAAAACUCUGAUGAUGCCUUCACUCACCACGAGGGGGCCCACACGCUUAAAGCUGAAGAAGUAAGCGGUGUCAGUUACCACAGCGUCCUGCUAGCCCGUCAACCCUGAACACUCUCUGGAAGGACAGAUGCUGAAGCUGAAGCUCCAGUGCUUUGGCCCCCUGAGGUGAAGAGCUGACUCACUGGGAAAGCCCCUGACGCUGGGAAAGAGAGAAGGCGGGAGGAGAAGGCGAUGACAGAGGAUGAGAUGGUCGGAUGGCAUCACUGACUCGAUGGACAUGGGUCUGGGUGAACUCCGGGAGUUGGUGAUGGACAGGGAGGCCUGGCGUGCUGCGGUUGCUAAGAGUCGGACACGACUGGGGCUGACGCUGAGGUCAGGGUGACUGGCACUCACAUCAGUUUGAGCAGGCUCUGGGAGAUGGUGAAGGACAGGGAGGCCUGGCGUGCUGCGGUUGCUAAGAGUCGGACACGACUGGGGCUGACGCUGAGGUCAGGGUGACUGGCACUCACAUGAGUUUUCGGAGGUUGCAGUGUGGAUGCCUCAGGGCUGCGGCAAGAAUCUCCACGGCCUCCGUGUCCAUCGCGCUGUCUUUCACAGUCAGAACUUCCAAACUCUCGUGUGUCUUAAACACAGAGCAGAAGUCUUGCCACCAGAGAGAACUCCUGUCACUUCCUUCUGGUCUGUGUGGGAGUAAAGAAAAAAAACAGGAAAAAAAGGCUCAUCAUUAGCGAUUAAGCUCGAGAAAACCUACCAGCAAACCCAGGACUUGCUUAUGACUGUGGAUCCCUUUGGGGCUUUCCUGAGAUGCCGUCACUUAGAAAGUGGCCCGGGGGACUUGCCUGGUGGCCCAGUGAUUAAGAAUCUGCCUCGCAAUGCAGGGGGUGUGGGUUCGAUCCCUGGUGGGAACUAAGCUCCCACGUGCCUGCAGAGCAGCAAACCCCCGCGCUACAGCUCCUGAGCCCAGGAAGCACAGCUGGAGAGUCUGCGCUGCGAGGGGAGAUCCCACCCGAUGCAAGGACGCCACCCAGACCCCACGCAGCCAAAUGCGUAACAUAUACUUAACCAAUAAGUACAAAGUCGCCCAGCAGAACUGCGCUGAGGCUCCUCACUCUAUUCCAG
ensembl:lincRNA